GAAAAAAGUUAGCUGACAGCGGGAAGCUUCUAACUUCCUCGUUGAGUGGUUGGAGUCCAUUCUUCUUUCU
rnacentral:tRNA from 1 species